GCGGGCGUGGUGGAAUUGGUAGACACGCAGGUUUUAGGUACCUGUGGCGAAAGCCGUGGGGGUUCGAGUCCCUUCGCCCGCACCA
rnacentral:tRNA from 1 species